GAACAUCCAUGGCUGAAGUCCCCAGUUUGCUGCAGGCCAGCUUCCAGCCAGGAGGAUCAGGCUGCGAGCCCCUGCUCAGCAGUGCUGACUCCAUUCCCCAGGGGACACAGCAUUUAGGACCGCACGUCCCAUCCAGUUCACACAUUGUCCUGGCAUGUUGGCAGCAGCUCUGGUGAAUCCAGGUCCCCCGGUCUGCGAAGGAAACACCCCUGAACGGGUCCCUGGGAUUAGGCAGGAAGCAGAGGCUUUAAUGAAGCAGACUCCAUUCUUCCAAGGGGUGAAGGGAGGUAUAUGCCAGAAAAGCCUGUGGUCACUCCUGAAGCUGAGCAGCUCAUUUUAUGGACUGCUUUUUGCUGCCCACUCUCACUGAAGGCAAA